rnacentral:rRNA from 1 species
AAGUCGAACGAUUGCCUUCGGGUGAUAGUGGCGCACGGAUGCGUAACGCGUGGGAAUCUGCCCUUAGGUUCGGAAUAACAGCUGGAAACGGCUGCUAAUACCGGAUGAUAUCGCGAGAUCAAAGAUUUAUCGCCUGAGGAUGAGCCCGCGUUGGAUUAGGUAGUUGGUGGGGUAAAGGCCUACCAAGCCGACGAUCCAUAGCUGGUCUGAGAGGAUGAUCAGCCACACUGGGACUGAGACACGGCCCAGACUCCUACGGGAGGCAGCAGUGGGGAAUAUUGGACAAUGGGCGCAAGCCUGAUCCAGCAAUGCCGCGUGAGUGAUGAAGGCCCUAGGGUUGUAAAGCUCUUUUACCCGGGAAGAUAAUGACUGUACCGGGAGAAUAAGCCCCGGCUAACUCCGUGCCAGCAGCCGCGGUAAUACGGAGGGGGCUAGCGUUGUUCGGAAUUACUGGGCGUAAAGCGCACGUAGGCGGCUUUGUAAGUCAGAGGUGAAAGCCUGGAGCUCAACUCCAGAACUGCCUUUGAGACUGCAUCGCUUGAAUCCAGGAGAGGUCAGUGGAAUUCCGAGUGUAGAGGUGAAAUUCGUAGAUAUUCGGAAGAACACCAGUGGCGAAGGCGGCUGACUG